rnacentral:lncRNA from 1 species
GAAAGUUUUUCUUUUUUUCCCCUUUCCUCCUACUGAAUAACAAAAUUGAGACAGACAAGCUUUUUCUUUUGUUUUUCUGAACAACAGGUUUAUUUCUCAUUCACCCUUAUGCUGAUGUUAUAACCCUGCUUUUUGUAGGAGUUCCCCCUUAGAGUCUCCCAACCCUGAGCAAAGCCUGGACUUUGUCUCCUUUCUUCAUCAUCCCACGCGCUAUGAAAUGGCCC